rnacentral:rRNA from 1 species
GGUACACGCUGUGACUAGCAUAUCAAUAAGCGGAGGAAAAGAAACUAACAAGGAUUCCCCUAGUAACGGCGAGUGAAGCGGGAAGAGCUCAAAUUUGAAAUCUUAAAGGGUUUCCCUUUACGAAUUGUAGUUUAAAGAAGUGUUUUCUGUUGAGGUUUUGGUAAAAGUUCUUUGGAAUAGGACAUCAUAGAGGGUGAGAAUCCCGUAUUUGACCUUUACUUUCAACUUUGUGAUACACUUUCAAAGAGUCGGAUUGUUUGGGAAUGCAGUCCAAAAUGGGUGGUAAAUUUCAUCUAAAGCUAAAUAUUGGCGAGAGACCGAUAGCGAACAAGUACCGUGAGGGAAAGAUGAAAAGAACCUUGAAAAGAGAGUUAAACAGUACGUGAAAUUGUCAAAAGGGAAGCGUUUGACACCAGUGUUGUUUUUCUGAAAAUCAAUUAAAGAACUGUUUAUGCUAAGCUGUUUAGACUUUAUCAGCUAUCUGUUUAGUUUUGAGCUUUUCUUUAAUGCACUUUUCAGUUAACAAGUCAACAUCAAUUUCUUUUGCUGUAAAAAAGCUUGAGGAAGGUGGCUUGAGAUUCGUCUUAAGUGUUUAUAGCCUCUUGCCUAUGCAGUCGGAGAGAUUGAGGUCUGCAGCGUAGAUCCUUCGGGGCUAAAUGCAUUUGUGCUAAGUUAUAGCAUUUUAUAGACAACUUGUUGACUAUGAUUUGUCUUGUAGCUUACUCGCUUAUGUUAUUUUACCUACGCUUAGGAUGUUGAAGAUGUAGCACAUCAU